GCGGUCAUGGCGGAAUUGGCAGCCGUGGAGGUUCGAGUCCUCUUGACCGCAUUGCUUAUUUAUCCGAUGUAUUGGGAAUAAGCAGUGCAGCACGACACGUGGAGGUUCGAGUCCUCUCGACCGCA
rnacentral:tRNA from 1 species